rnacentral:rRNA from 2 species
ACAGGGAUUGCCCUAGUAACGGCGAGUGAAGCGGCAACAGCUCAAAUUUGAAAUCUGGCGUCUUUGGCGUCCGAGUUGUAAUUUGCAGAGGGCGCUUUGGCAUUGGCAGCGGUCCAAGUUCCUUGGAACAGGACGUCACAGAGGGUGAGAAUCCCGUACGUGGUCGCUAGCCUUUACCGUGUAAAGCCCCUUCGACGAGUCGAGUUGUUUGGGAAUGCAGCUCUAAAUGGGAGGUAAAUUUCUUCUAAAGCUAAAUACUGGCCAGAGACCGAUAGCGCACAAGUAGAGUGAUCGAAAGAUGAAAAGCACUUUGGAAAGAGAGUUAAAAAGCACGUGAAAUUGUUGAAAGGGAAGCGCUUGCAGCCAGACUUGCCUGUAGUUGCUCAUCCAGGUUUCUACCUGGUGCACUCUUCUAUAGGCAGGCCAGCAUCAGUUUGGGCGGUUGGAUAAAGGUCUCUGUCAUGUACCUCUCUUCGGGGAGAACUUAUAGGGGAGACGACAUGCAACCAGCCUGGACUGAGGUCCGCGCAUCUGCUAGGAUGCUGGCGUAAUGGCUGUAAGCGGCCCGUCUUGAAACACGGACCAAGGAGUCUAACAUCUAUGCGAGUGUUUGGGUGUCAAGCCCGAGCGCGUAAUGAAAGUGAACGGAGGUGGGAACCUUUCGGGGUGCACCAUCGACCGAUCCUGAUGUCUUCGGAUGGAUUUGAGUAAGAGCAUAGCUGUUGGGACCCGAAAGAUGGUGAACUAUGCUUGAAUAGGGUGAAGCCAGAGGAAACUCUGGUGGAGGCUCGCAGCGGUUCUGACGUGCAAAUCGAUCGUCAAAUUUGGGCAUAGGGGCGAAAGACUAAUCGAACUAUCUAGUAGCUGGUUCCUGCCGAAGUUUCCCUCAGGAUAGCAGUAACGUUUUCAGUUUUAUGAGGUAAAGCGAAUGAUUAGAGGCCUGGGGGUUGAAACAACCUU